rnacentral:tRNA from 1 species
GGGGCUAUAGCGCAGCUGGGAGCGCGUCAGACUGGCAGUCUGAAGGUCAAGGGUUCGAUCCCCUUUAGCUCCACCA